GGGAUUGUGGCUCAGUGGUCGAGUGUUUGCCUCGCACACAUGAGGCACUGAGUUCAAACCUCAGCACCA
rfam:Ictidomys tridecemlineatus contig027352, whole genome shotgun sequence.